GGGAAUAUUUCAAACAUUCGCAAUCCUUGGCUUCCCAAGUGAGCCAACUUAGUCAUACUAUCAGUUUCCUGAUUCUCUUCUCUAGGUAUGUAACAUAUAUUCCAAUGAAGAAUAUGAGACAAUAAUUAAAGAAUUCUCCUAAUCAGAGCCGAAUUGGACCUUCCUAUAAGACUCCCUUGGAUGGUCGUAACCACCUCAAGACUACCAAUCUGGAUCAGCACAUUACCAAAACCUUGAUCAAUUAAGAUGUCUAAUCCAUCCAAUAUACCUCACAAUUCAACUUCGAACAUGAACAGCUCUCCAAGAACCAAUUAAAACCAAUGAUCCACUCUCCAUUUUUGUAUCUCACAACUCCUCCUGCUGCCACAGAACCAU
rnacentral:lncRNA from 1 species